rnacentral:rRNA from 1 species
UAGACUUUUAUAUAGAAUACUUGAUCUAGUCUGAUCUCGGAAGCUAAGCAGGAUUGGGCCUGGUUAGUAGUUGGAUGGUAGACUGCUGGGAAUAUCAUGGGUACUGC